UCAGCUGUGGUAAGUUAAUUGUGUCUUUGUAUCCCAAUACUGACCUAGCACCUCACCUGAUGCCUUUGAGUCCUCCUCUUCUUGGCUAACGUAUCAGACAUUAUAUGCUAUUGUCAACAUCAAAUUUUCAGUGACUACUUCAGUUAGCUCCAGGAGACAAAGUACUUACAAGAAGUCCAUACAUAAAGCUGUUUUUUCCCAGUCCGUUUUCUGACUACAGAGAGAGAAAGGUGGUUUCCCAUGAGGACUCUGGUUUGAGAAUCCUAGGCUGGAUCGGGGACCCCAAUGCAGGUGAAAGAAGAGGAUAUGACAGUACCAGUGCACUGUGAGAUCAAGGCCCACAUCUGAUGCAGUACCACAAGGGAAUAAAUGCCAUCCUAAAGAACUGAGAGGGACAGAAACAACCAAGAGACUCUGCCCUAAAAGAUUAAUUCCUCUCCUCCUCCAGCUGUGAGCCACUGAGUGUACCGCAGCCUGGGAAAAAGCACAAGCUAUGGCAAAAGGAGUUCCCUGGGGAAGGCAUACCCAGCCAAGGCAAGGGUGUCAAGCUCUGGGAACACUUUCUGUCUCACCCACAGACUGAAGAGGAAGCAAAGUGUUUGGUGAUGCACUCACUUCAUCUCACCUGAAAUUCCCAGUGAUACACUCACUUCAUCCCACUGAAAUUCCCAGUCGACAUUCUUGUGACAAUGGCACAAAAAUUUUACCAUUGCCAUGUUGACUUCAAGCCUUGUGACCCAUUGUGCAAUCUGAAGAUGCGUGUAUAGUGCUGUUUCUUGUCCUAUAUACAGUGUGUUGUCAUCAAGAGCAUGGAGUACCAGCUUUUUCAUGGCACCUGGUAGGUCAUGUAAGCAGUGUUUAACAGGUCCAGACUCUGACGGGAGUCACACAGUCAUUCCAUCUAUGUUUUCAUCUAAGAAUGAGCUAUCAUCCACUAUUUGUGCCAGCGGUGCAUGGGAUGUGCUCUCAGUGAUGCUACAUGCCUGACACCACACAGCUGCUAACAAAACAAAGCCUUUUCUCAGGGUGUCCUAAAAGUCUCCACAGCUGGCUGGGGAGCCAAGUGUGGAAGAAUUCAGGGCAGGCAGGCAAAAGAGUCCACCUAUCAUUCCACGCGCUCCCGCUGAACAAAAUACAAACCUGUGCAGGAAUCUAGUGUGGCAACUUACUCACAAAAGGGCUGAUCAAAAAGAUUAAACUAUGUUAACAGCUCCACAUGGAAAGACUUUAAAGAAGCAAUUGCAAAACAUCUUAAGGAAGUGUUUCAGAAAUGCGUAAGGAAAGAAACAGUCUCCAGGAGAUCGAGAUAGGCAACUAUAUAAGUACAUCCUAUUACAUGCUGAGAUAAAUCACCAUUGCAAAAUGAUAUUGUGCUAUAACCUAAGGACAUCAAAGACAACCAUGACUCUUAAGUCAAAUCAAGAAAACACAAAUUAAAGAAAGACAGAUUUGUGGGGUCGGGCAUUGAUGAAUCUUCACUGUAAUAAAUGUAGGGCAGCCACAUGUUAGUAAAGCAGUCCAUCUAAACAGAUACUACAUGCAAUUCUCACAUUUUUGAUAUUUUGACCCUAUAUGGUGUAAUUACUGAAGCCUACUCAUUUAGAACAUGUUGGAGAGAUAUGAGGUAAAAGGAAAACAAAUUAUUCCUUA